rnacentral:rRNA from 1 species
AGAUUGAACGCUGGCGGCAUGCUUUACACAUGCAAGUCGAACGGCAGCACGGGGGCAACCUUGGUGGCGAGUGGCGAACGGGUGAGUAAUGCAUCGGAACGUAUCCUUAAGUGGGGGAUAACGCAUCGAAAGAUGCGCUAAUACCGCAUAAUCUCUGAGGAGAAAAAGCAGGGGGAUCGCAAGACCUUGCGCUUUUGGAGCGGCCGAUGUCUGAUUAGCUAGUUGGUGAGGUAAAGGCUUACCAAGGCUUCGAUCAGUAGCUGGUCUGAGAGGACGACCAGCCACACUGGGACUGAGACACGGCCCAGACUCCUACGGGAGCAGCAGUGGGAAUUUGGACAAGUGGGGAACCUGGAUCCAGCCAUGCCGCGUGAGUGAAGAAGGCCUUGGUGUAAAGCUCUUCAGCGAACGAAAGUUACGUAAUACCGUGACGUAAUGACGGUACCGAAGAAGAGACGACCGCUAACUACGUCG